AAACGGCGAUAAACACGCAACAACAUGGUUGUGACGAAAAACUCGUUCCUUAGCCACUUGGGCUUCGGCUACUUAGCAUUUAAAAGAUGGGCGGAAAUAAGUGCAAAAGGUCAAAUAAUCAGUGUCGAACAAUCGAUCAACAACGAAAAAAAUAAAUCUCGCACAUGUCCAACAUGUUUUAAGCAAUUUCAUUCAAAGACGAGCAACUUCAACCGACAUUUGAAGCUUCAUGAAGCGAAAAAACUCAAGAAUCGUUUAAAAUGCCGUCUUUGUACGAAGACGUAUCAAAACCUUUCGAAUUUCAAACAACACACCAACAAAUAUCAUUUAAAGUGGAUGAAUAACAACGGCCCCGUACCAUUCGUGUACACUGGAGA